GAUGAACGCUGGCGGCGUGCCUAAUACAUGCAAGUCGAGCGAACAGAUGAGGAGCUUGCUCCUCUGACGUUAGCGGCGGACGGGUGAGUAACACGUGGAUAACCUACCUAUAAGACUGGGAUAACUUCGGGAAACCGGAGCUAAUACCGGAUAAUAUAUUGAACCGCAUGGUUCAAUAGUGAAAGACGGUUUUGCUGUCACUUAUAGAUGGAUCCGCGCCGCAUUAGCUAGUUGGUAAGGUAACGGCUUACCAAGGCAACGAUGCGUAGCCGACCUGAGAGGGUGAUCGGCUACACUGGAACUGAGACACGGUCCAGACUCCUACGGGAGGCAGCAGUAGGGAAUCUUCCGCAAUGGGCGAAAGCUUGACGGAGCAACGCCGCGUGAGUGAUGAAGGUCUUCGGAUCGUAAAACUCUGUUAUUAGGGAAGAACAAAUGUGUAAGUAACUAUGCACGUCUUGACGGUACCUAAUCAGAAAGCCACGGCUAACUACGUG
rnacentral:rRNA from 1 species